CUUCCAUUCCGAAUGAUUCGCCGUGGGAAAUGGCCAAAAAUAAUAAGUCGAAAGCAGAACCACAGCUGCACUUCCGUAUCGAUUGCUGUUCGCUGUGCGGUCGGGGUGUCAUUUCGAUUUCAAUCACACGUGCACGCUUACACAGUUCCCAUCUCGGUCGGUGCCAUUUUUUAAACAAUAUUCCACUGCCAGCGCUUCAUCAUCAUACCCACAGCGCUGGGAAAUGGGAAGCUGGGCGCUCCGCAAGAAGAUGGAAAGCGUUGUUGCAUAAUCGUUGUCGGUUUUCAUUUCCUCACACCAACACGCAGCUGCGGAUGGCAGAAGAAAUACUGUCAACACUUGGAAAUUUUCGCCCCACUUCGAUGGCAACGUUUGGCACUUCCGGAAGUGUUCUGAAGGUCUAAACUCUAAGGCCUACUUAUGAGUCACACAAAAAUAAAUAUUUUCUUACUAGUUAAUUAAAGAAUAGAAUCUCAAUGAAUCAUUAUUUAUUAGUUCCCUCCAAUAAUGAACGCCUUUCAUCUACGGCUUAAAUGUAGCAACUACCAAUUUGAAUGAUUGAUUUAAGAACAACAUUUGUAACAAUAAAUAAGCUCUAAAAAUGAA